rnacentral:rRNA from 1 species
UGGGGAAUAUUGCACAAUGGGCGAAAGCCUGAUGCAGCAACGCCGCGUGAGUGAUGAAGGUCUUCGGAUUGUAAAGCUCUGUCUUUUGGGACGAUAAUGACGGUACCAAAGGAGGAAGCCACGGCUAACUACGUGCCAGCAGCCGCGGUAAUACGUAGGUGGCGAGCGUUGUCCGGAUUUACUGGGCGUAAAGGGUGCGUAGGCGGAUGUUUAAAGUGAGAUGUGAAAUACCCGG